rnacentral:rRNA from 1 species
ACACAUGCAAGUCGAACGGCAGCGGGGGCUUCGGCCUGCCGGCGAGUGGCGAACGGGUGAGUAAUGCAUCGGAACGUGCCCAUGUCGUGGGGGAUAACGUAUCGAAAGGUACGCUAAUACCGCAUACGUCCUGAGGGAGAAAGCGGGGGACCGUAAGGCCUCGCGCGAUUGGAGCGGCCGAUGUCGGAUUAGCUAGUUGGUGAGGUAAAGGCUCACCAAGGCGACGAUCCGUAGCGGGUCUGAGAGGAUGAUCCGCCACACUGGGACUGAGACACGGCCCAGACUCCUACGGGAGGCAGCAGUGGGGAAUUUUGGACAAUGGGCGCAAGCCUGAUCCAGCCAUGCCGCGUGAGUGAAGAAGGCCUUCGGGUUGUAAAGCUCUUUCGGCCGGGAAGAAAUCGUGUUCUCUAACAUAGGACAUGGAUGACGGUACCGGACCAAGAAGCACCGGCUAACUACGUGCCAGCAGCCGCGGUAAUACGUAGGGUGCAAGCGUUAAUCGGAAUUACUGGGCGUAAAGCGUGCGCAGGCGGUUCGGAAAGAAAGAUGUGAAAUCCCAGGGCUCAACCUUGGAACUGCAUUUUUAACUCCCGAACUAGAGUGUGUCAGAGGGGGGUGGAAUUCCACGUGUAGCAGUGAAAUGCGUAGAUAUGUGGAGGAACACCGAUGGCGAAGGCAGCCCCCUGGGAUAACACUACGC